rnacentral:rRNA from 1 species
GCUGGAAUCGCUAGUAAUCGCGAAUCAGGAUGUCGCGGUGAAUACGUUCCCGGGUCCUUGUACACACCGCCCGUCACACCAUGGGAGUCGGAAAUGCCCGAAGUCAGUGACCUAACCGAAAGGGAGGAGCUGCCGAAGGUGGAGCCGGUAACUGGGGUGAAGUCGUAACAAGGUAAC